GAAUAUUGGACAAUGGGGGAAACCCUGACCCAGCAACGCCGCGUGAGGGAUGAAGGCCUUCGGGUCGUAAACCUCUGUCGAGAGGGAAGAAUGAUUUCUGGUCGCACAGGCCAGGGAUUUGACGGUACCUCCAAAGGACGCACCGGCUACCUCCGUGCCAGCAGCCGCGGUAAUACGGAGGGUGCAAGCGUUGUUCGGAAUUACUGGGCGUAAAGCGCGUGGAGGCGGCUUGGCAAGUCGGGUGUGAAAUCCCGGGGCUCAACCCCGGAACUGCAUUCGAAACUGCCUGGCUGGAGUCCCGGAGAGGGUGGUGGAAUUCCCAGUGUAGAGGUGAAAUUCGUAGAUAUUGGGAGGAACACCAGUGGCGAAGGCGGCCACCUGGACGGUGACUGACGCUGAGACGCGAAAGCGUGGGGAGCAAACAGG
rnacentral:rRNA from 1 species